rnacentral:rRNA from 1 species
GGCUUAACACAUGCAAGUCGAGGGGCAGCAUCAUCAAAGCUUGCUUUGAUGGAUGGCGACCGGCGCACGGGUGAGUAACACGUAUCCAACCUGCCGACAACACUGGGAUAGCCUUUCGAAAGAAAGAUUAAUACCGGAUGGCAUAAUUUUCCCGCAUGGGAUAAUUAUUAAAGAAUUUCGGUUGUCGAUGGGGAUGCGUUCCAUUAGGCAGUUGGCGGGGUAACGGCCCACCAAACCAACGAUGGAUAGGGGUUCUGAGAGGAAGGUCCCCCACAUUGGAACUGAGACACGGUCCAAACUCCUACGGGAGGCAGCAGUGAGGAAUAUUGGUCAAUGGACGAGAGUCUGAACCAGCCAAGUAGCGUGAAGGAUGACUGCCCUAUGGGUUGUAAACUUCUUUUAUACGGGAAUAAAGUUAGCCACGUGUGGCUUUUUGUAUGUACCGUAUGAAUAAGGAUCGGCUAACUCCGUGCCAGCAGCCGCGGUAAUACGGAGGAUCCGAGCGUUAUCCGGAUUUAUUGGGUUUAAAGGGAGCGUAGGCGGGUUGUUAAGUCAGUUGUGAGAGUUUGCGGCUCAACCGUAAAAUUGCAGUUGAUACUGGCGACCUUGAGUGCAACAGAGGUAGGCGGAAUUCGUGGUGUAGCGGUGAAAUGCUUAGAUAUCACGAAGAACUCCGAUUGCGAAGGCAGCUUACUGGAUUGUAACUGACGCUGAUGCUCGAAAGUGUGGGUAUCAAACAGGAUUAGAUACCCUGGUAGUCCACACAGUAAACGAUGAAUACUCGCUGUUGGCGAUAUACGGUCAGCGGCCAAGCGAAAGCAUUAAGUAUUCCACCUGGGGAGUACGCCGGCAACGGUGAAACUCAAAGGAAUUGACGGGGGCCCGCACAAGCGGAGGAACAUGUGGUUUAAUUCGAUGAUACGCGAGGAACCUUACCCGGGCUUAAAUUGCAACUGACGGAACCGGAAACGGUUCUUUCUUCGGACAGUUGUGAAGGUGCUGCAUGGUUGUCGUCAGCUCGUGCCGUGAGGUGUCGGCUUAAGUGCCAUAACGAGCGCAACCCUUACGGGUAGUUACCAUCAGGUUAUGCUGGGGACUCUACCCGGACUGCCGUUGUAAGAUGUGAGGAAGGUGGGGAUGACGUCAAAUCAGCACGGCCCUUACGUCCGGGGCUACACACGUGUUACAAUGGGGGGUACAGAAGGUAGCUACACGGCGACGUGGUGCUAAUCCCAAAAGCCUCUCUCAGUUCGGAUUGGAGUCUGCAACCCGACUCCAUGAAGCUGGAUUCGCUAGUAAUCGCGCAUCAGCCACGGCGCGGUGAAUACGUUCCCGGGCCUUGUACACACCGCCCGUCAAGCCAUGAAAGCCGGGGGUACCUGAAGUACGUAACCGCGAGGAGCGUCCUAGGGUAAAACUGGUGAUUGGGGCUAAG